UUUCAGGUUUGAAGAUUUUAAUGAAAUCGGUAGAAUGAGGAAGCCACUCAAGAACAUGACGUGAAGGAGAAAGAUGUUUCUGGUUCAGAGGAGGAAGAGGACUUGCCUGGUAUCGAGCCAAUUGCUGCAGUACCCCCGUUGGGAGAGGCCAGCCGUGAUUAUCGAAAGUGCCUAUACAUAUGGGGAGCUCGAGGAGGAGGAGAUUGAUCGCUCCAAGGUCCUCUAUAUAUGUAGCUAGGUACCUUGCCUCACAACCAAGAGGAAGUCGGCUGAGCAUCACACUAUCAACCUCAUCAACCUGUCCGAUUGGAUCUCACAGCCCUCUAGUCACUAUUCUCCCUUUCCAUUACACCAAGUGGCUUGUCAAGAGGUGACCGAUUCCCCCAAUUACACGUCAUGUGGUGUGUAUGGAUGCCAAAUUUUCUUCAACAGCAGCCCAAAUAUUUAUGUGCAUGAUACUGAUACUAAUCAUGAUGGUCCCGACUUUGCUGGUUUCACCAAGAUGAGUCCUAGUUUCCUACAACGGAAAGUUAGGCUGCUGGUGGCGGAGCUCGCGGGGAAACUCUACGCCCUUGAUCUUACUCCAACUAAGAUAAUUAAUACUUUUGAGGUGUAUGACCCUAAAAAGGGCAUAUGCAUGGUCACCAUUGCCAUUAUCUCCGGUCCUUAAGAAAGGUUUACUUAUACAAUACCCCUGCUUUGCAGUCACCGGGACUAAGAUUUAUUACACCGUUGGAGAAACCCCUGCAGAGAAUCCGGUUCCGAAUGCCAUGGUUUUGUGCUUUGAUGUAUCUGACCCGAAUAAAGAGUGGAGACAAAUUCCUGCAUUGUUUUGGUUGAAACUAUACCCUCCAGAUGCUGAGUCCCCCUGCCCUUGUAUCUCAUAUGAUGGCAAGCUUUGAUUAUGGAACUGAAUGUUGGGAAUGAUGAUUUGAAAUUAAUGCUCGCAUAUUCAUGUGGAUCAGAGGUGGUAAUUUUACCUA